GGAAGUAAAAGUCGUAACAAAGUUUCCGUAGGUGGACCUGCGGAAGGAUCAUUAUUGUAUAACCGAGGUGCGAGGGCUGUCGCUGACCCGAAAGGUCGUGCACGCCCGAGUGCCCUCACACACAUCCAUCUCACCCCUAUGUGCACCACCGCGUGGGUCCCCCUUUGGCUUGUUCGGAGGGGGGCUUACGUUUUCACACAAACUUUGUAUGCAGUGUAGAAUGUAUUUUUUGUUUUUGCGAUCACGCAAUCAAUACAACUUUCAACAACGGAUCUCUUGGCUCUC
rnacentral:misc_RNA from 1 species